GGGGGGUUAGUCCAAACAAGACCUCUGAUUUCGACUCAGAAAAUCGCGGUUAAAACCCACGACCCCCUU
rnacentral:tRNA from 1 species